rnacentral:rRNA from 1 species
GACGAACGCUGGCGGCGUGCUUAAUGCAUGCAAGUCGAGGGAGAACCAUCCUGUUCGUAAGAUCAAGAUGGGGAAACCGGCGUACGGGUGCGUAACACGUGAGAAACCUGCCCUUGAGAUCGGGAUAGCCCGGGGAAACCCGGAUUAAUACCGAAUACCUUCUUUGGAUCGCAUGAUCCGCUGAAGAAAUGCUCAGGCGCUCAGGGAUGGUCUCGCGGCCUAUCAGCUUGUUGGUGAGGUAACGGCUCACCAAGGCUCCGACGGGUAGCUGGUCUGAGAGGACGAUCAGCCACACUGGGACUGAGACACGGCCCAG